GGGACACGGAAUAGGGAAAGCCGCCAUGACACAUUUUGGCCCGCCAUCUAGCGGCUAAUUCCCUCCCUUCAUCAUUAGCAGACGAAUUCCUCAGUUUUCUAAUGUCAUCGAGCUGGUUUGUGUCAAACUAAAGUGUCAACACAGUGUACAAAGGUUUCUUUGGACACAUUUUGGUUGAAAACUUUGAUAUAAGAUAAACAUCUGACUUUAAGGAAUCUCAAAGCAACAGAUUUCACAAGGGCAGCAUAAUCACACUGAGAAGAUUUUAAUCCUUGUGACAACAUGACUUGGAAAACAGACUCGCAAGCAAGAACAAUUCUAUACACAGAGUUUGAAGGGUCUUCACUAGAAUCAUACAAUGCUUUUCUGCACAUGAUGCAAUCAAAGUGACGUUCAAUUUUCACUACACAAUACCCAGCAAUGAAGGCAAGACAUUGGUUUGUAAAUGCAUCAUCAAUAUUUGAAGCGUUUAACUCUUCCUCAUUACAGAAAAUCUCCAUAUCAAUCUCAAUUUCCUCAUCAAUUGAAUCUUUUUCUACGUGAAAAUUCUGGUUCUCAAAUAUUUGUGAUGGAACAAGUGAACAGUUUGAUGAUAAAGAAGCUGUCACGCCAACACUUUUUAUAACGAGAAGUUUUCUCAUUAUAUAUUUCACUUGAAUUGCAGUUGGGUUAUUAUUCAACCCACCCCUCAAUCGAAUAAUGCUAAAGAAAUGCUCGAGUAAAUCUUGCUGAGUAAGUCUAGUGCAUACAUAAUCUAAUGGAAGAGGUUGAGUCAACAAAUCCCAUGCAAGUGCGAUAGUAGAUGGGAUUGUUGCUGUAAAGCCAAUUACAACUGAUUUUCUCCUGCUGGUACUCACCAAUUUACCCGUUUGAAAUAGUAAGUGGUGCCCUAUCGUUAACUUGUUUCGGAUUCCAAGAGUUCAGCAUGUCGAAAAGCUUGUUGAACUUACAGCAAUACUCCUCAGUGGCCUCACUUCCGACAAACUAGAGGAACGAAUGUAUUGCAAAGCUAAAUUAAUUCAUCACGUAAUUGGCGAAGAGCAUCCGCAGUCGAGUUGCUUAAGACUUGUGCAGCAAGAACUACUUUCAUCUUGUGUGCGCCAAUGUAGACGUGGCUUUUGGUUAACUUGUUACCCAGACGAAAUCCUUGGCGGUUCUGGUAUUCAAAUAGCUCUUCGAUGUAUGACCAUUUCACAGCUUUAUGGAAGCCAGGUAUUUUGAUUCCCUUUUUUGUUUGUGCUAAUAAAUUACGUGCCAAUUUUAACAUAUGGCAGG
rnacentral:lncRNA from 1 species